GCUUCCUGAAAAGAUCAUCAGCCUGAGGCGUGAACUCAGCGACACUGAACCGCCGAAGGAUUCAUCCAGAAAUAAAGAGUGAAACACGAGUCACCAGGAGACGACAGAACAUCUGGAUGUGAUGUCACAGCGUCGACGUCUCAGCUGCUCAUCCACAGAAAAAGAAGGAUUUAAAAAGUAAACGCCAGAUUUUGUGUCGUUCCAGAACUUCUACUUCAGAACCAACGUUUAAGAACCGAGUCUGGGGACGGUUACAGGAUCUGGUUGAAGUAACGCCAGACCGGUAUCGUCCAGGACUCACCUGGCUGCUCGGCAGAGGUUUGGUGCAGCCGACAGGUCGAUUGGCCCUGUCCUUGACCUCUGACCCCUGCUGAGCUUUCCGUUGUUGUCCAGCGUUAGCGGUUAGCCCUGUGGUGGUGGAUGAACCGACUCCGUGGUGGCGAUGCCAGCCCAGCAGGCAGCGCCACUGAGCCACCUCCCUGAGGAGAGGCAGGCAGGAGGCCAGACACAGCAUCAAAGACACACAGCUGACACACAGUCACACACACAGUCACACACACAGUCACACACACGUAGAUUACUUCCAAACCUUUUAAAAACCCAUUAUUUUUGUCUGAUUAUUGAAAUCCAUCGAUCCGGAUCAAUACUUCUCAAACGGAUGGAAGUAAAAAUCACGUUCCAACAGUUGUUUGUUUCUAUGUGACUUUAAUGUCAGAGAUGUUUCUCUAUCAGAAUAAAUCGUUAACCAUCCAUUCA